rnacentral:rRNA from 1 species
UACGGGGGAGCAAGCGUUGUUCGGAUUUACUGGGCGUAAAGGGCGCGUAGGCGGCCAGCACAAGUCAGUUGUGAAAUCUCCGAGCUUAACUCGGAAAGGUCAACUGAUACUGUGCGGCUAGAGUGCGGAAGGGGCAACUGGAAUUCUUGGUGUAGCGGUGAAAUGCGUAGAUAUCAAGAGGAACACCUGCGGCGAAGGCGGGUUGCUGGGCCGACACUGACGCUGAGGCGCGAAAGCUAGGGGAGCGAACGGG